rnacentral:rRNA from 1 species
CCUACGGGGGGCAGCAGUCGAGAAUUAUUCACAAUGGGGGAAACCCUGAUGGUGCGACGCCGCGUGGGGGAAUGAAGGUCUUCGGAUUGUAAACCCCUGUCAUGUGGGGGCAAAUUAAAAAGAUAGUACCACAAGAGGAAGAGACGGCUAACUCUGUGCCAGCAGCCGCGGUAAUAAAGAGGUCUCAAGCGUUGUUCGGAAUCACUGGGCGUAAGGCGUGCGGAGGCUGUUUCGUAAGUCGUGUGUGAAAGGCGCGGGCUCAACCCGCGGACGGCACAUGAUACUGCGAGACUAGAGUAAUGGAGGGGGAACCGGAAUUCUCGGUGUAGCAGUGAAAUGCGUAGAUAUCGAGAGGAACACUCGUGGCGAAGGCGGGUUCCUGGACAUUAACUGACGCUGAGGCACGAAGGCCAGGGGAGCGAAAGGGAUUAGAUACCCUAGUAGUC